rnacentral:rRNA from 1 species
UGCAAGUCGAGCGGAUGAAGGGAGCUUGCUCCUGGAUUCAGCGGCGGACGGGUGAGUAAUGCCUAGGAAUCUGCCUGGUAGUGGGGGAUAACGUCCGGAAACGGGCGCUAAUACCGCAUACGUCCUGAGGGAGAAAGUGGGGGAUCUUCGGACCUCACGCUAUCAGAUGAGCCUAGGUCGGAUUAGCUAGUUGGUGGGGUAAAGGCCUACCAAGGCGACGAUCCGUAACUGGUCUGAGAGGAUGAUCAGUCACACUGGAACUGAGACACGGUCCAGACUCCUACGGGAGGCAGCAGUGGGGAAUAUUGGACAAUGGGCGAAAGCCUGAUCCAGCCAUGCCGCGUGUGUGAAGAAGGUCUUCGGAUUGUAAAGCACUUUAAGUUGGGAGGAAGGGCAGUAAGUUAAUACCUUGCUGUUUUGACGUUACCAACAGAAUAAGCACCGGCUAACUUCGUGCCAGCAGCCGCGGUAAUACGAAGGGUGCACGCGUUAAUCGGAAUUACUGGGCGUAAAGCGCGCGUAUGUGGUUCAGCAAGUUGGAUGUGAAAUUCUUCGGGUCGACCUGGAAACUGCAUCCAAAAUUACUGAGCUA